rnacentral:tRNA from 1 species
GCCGCCUUAGCUCAGUUGGUUUAGAGCACUUGACUUGUAAUCAUGAGGUCGUCAGUUCGAAUCUGACAGGCGGCU